rnacentral:misc_RNA from 1 species
AAGUCGUAACAAGGUUUCCGUAGGUGAACCUGCGGAAGGAUCAUUACCGAGUUCUCGGGCUUCGGCUCGAAUCUCCCACCCUUUGUGAACGUACCUCUGUUGCUUUGGCGGCUCCGGCCUGCGGAGGGAGGGGCCAAAAACCCCCCCCGCCGACGGGCCCCCGCCAGAGGACCUCCAAACUCCAGUCAGUGAACGUCGACGUCUGAUAAACAAGUUAAUAAACUAAAACUUUCAACAACGGAUCUCUUGGUUCUG